rnacentral:rRNA from 1 species
GUGAGGAAUAUUGGUCAAUGGGCGAAAGCCUGAACCAGCAACGCCGCGUGAGGGAUGAAGGCCUUCGGGUCGUAAACCUCUUUUCUGGGAGAAGAGACAAGGACGGUAUCCCAGGAAUAAGUCUCGGCUAACUACGUGCCAGCAGCCGCGGUAAAACGUAGGAGGCAAGCGUUAUCCGGAUUUACUGGGCGUAAAGCGCACGCAGGCGGCUGCGUAAGUCGGACGUGAAAGCUCCCGGCUCAACUGGGAGAGGUCGUUCGAAACUGCGCGGCUUGAGGUUGGAAGAGGAGAGCGGAAUUCCCGGUGUAGUGGUGGAAUGCGUAGAUAUCGGGAGGAACACCAGUGGCGAAAGCGGCUCUCUGGUCCACACCUGACGCUCAGGUGCGAAAGCGUGGGUAGCGAACGGGAUUAGAAACCCUAGUAGUCC